rnacentral:rRNA from 1 species
ACAGAGGUCUCAAGCGUUGUUCGGAAUCACUGGGCGUAAAGCGUGCGUAGGCUGUUUCGUAAGUCGUGUGUGAAAGGCGCGGGCUCAACCCGCGGACGGCACAUGAUACUGCGAGACUAGAGUAAUGGAGGGGGAACCGGAAUUCUCGGUGUAGCAGUGAAAUGCGUAGAUAUCGAGAGGAACACUCGUGGCGAAGGCGGGUUCCUGGACAUUAACUGACGCUGAGGCACGAAGGCCAGGGGAGCGAAAGGGAUUAGAUACCCCUGUAGUCCUGGCAGUAAACGGUGCACGCUUGGUGUGCGGGGAAUCGACCCCCUGCGUGCCGGAGCUAACGCGUUAAGCGUGCCGCCUGGGGAGUACGGUCGCAAGAUUA